CUGAGUAAGUCCUGCCUUGAAGAAUCGUGAGUGCAAACCAGUUUGAGAGAGAAGAGGAAAAAUAAAUGCAACUUACUGCAUCCUCUACCUCCUGAGCUCAAGGGAUCCUUCCACUUCAGCCUCCAAGGUGGCUGGGACCAUAGAUACACACCACUACUCAAAGUUAGCAACCACUCAAGGAAAUUUAAAACACUAAAUUUCUGGACUUGCCAGACUAAGGGCCAGACUCUGGACCUCACCAAAUUCAUCAAGGGACUUCCCUUGCUAUGAGUAUCUUGCUGGUCAGUAGAAGCAGAAAGAAU
rnacentral:lncRNA from 1 species